rfam:Desulfosporosinus sp. I2 contig00205, whole genome shotgun sequence.
ACAAUGCUACUUCCGUCCAGCCACAGAUUCAAGCAAUGGUGCGGCUCGCAGAGAUCCUGGGAGAGGUGAAAUUCCUAUGG